GAUGAACGCUGGCGGCGUGCCUAAUACAUGCAAGUCGAGCGAACAGAUAAGGAGCUUGCUCCUUUGACGUUAGCGGCGGACGGGUGAGUAACACGUGGGUAACCUACCUAUAAGACUGGAAUAACUCCGGGAAACCGGGGCUAAUGCCGGAUAACAUUUAGAACCGCAUGGUUCUAAAGUGAAAGAUGGUUUUGCUAUCACUUAUAGAUGGACCCGCGCCGUAUUAGCUAGUUGGUAAGGUAACGGCUUACCAAGGCAACGAUACGUAGCCGACCUGGGAGGGUGAUCGGCCACACUGGAACUGAGACACGGUCCAGACUCCUACGGGAGGCAGCAGUAGGGAAUCUUCCGCAAUGGGCGAAAGCCUGACGGAGCAACGCCGCGUGAGUGAUGAAGGUCUUCGGAUCGUAAAACUCUGUUAUUAGGGAAGAACAAAUGUGUAAGUAACUGUGCACGUCUUGACGGUACCUAAUCAGAAAGCCACGGCUAACUACGUG
rnacentral:rRNA from 1 species